rnacentral:rRNA from 1 species
AACGAACGCUGGCGGCAGGCCUAACACAUGCAAGUCGAACGCAUCGCAAGAUGAGUGGCGCACGGGUGAGUAACACGUGGGAAUGUAUCCUUUGGUUCGGAAUAACGUCUGGAAACGGACGCUAAUACCGGAUGAGCCCUUAGGGGGAAAGAUUUAUCGCCGAAGGAGCAGCCCGCGUCUGAUUAGGUAGUUGGUGGGGUAAAGGCCUACCAAGCCGACGAUCAGUAGCUGGUCUGAGAGGAUGAUCAGCCACACUGGGACUGAGACACGGCCCAGACUGCUACGGGGGGCAGCAGUGGGGAAUAUUGGACAAUGGGCGCAAGCCUGAGCCAGCCAUGCCGCGUGAGUGAUGAAGGCCUUCGGGUUGUAAAGCUCUUUCGCACACGACGAUGAUGACGGUAGUGUGAGAAGAAGCCCCGGCUAACUUCGUGCCAGCAGCCGCAGUAAUAC